UAAAAAUAACCGACUUCCUGUUGGGUUUCGGAUAUUGCUCCAAGAGUCUUUUUUGUAGGUACUGAUGCUUUACAUAUGUGUGCCAAUUUUCGUGCAUGUACGUGAAACACAGCUCGAGGGCUGUCGAUUUUUUUACGAUAGGUGGCGCUGUCGAGCCAUUUUGCCACACCCUCUUCUGAAACCUAUAUCAGACGUAAAUUUUCACCAGGUCUGACGCGUGUGCAAAGUUUCAGGACUUUUCGAGCAUGUUUAGGCCCUCAAAAAUGCGAUUCAUUUUGGAGAAGAAGAAGAAGAAUAAUAAUAAUAAUUAAAGCUGCAAGCAGCGAUGAACGGGCCCUCGCACCCGGGCUCACCACCACCGGGUGGCUUUUGUAAAACAGCGAACGGCGAGAAAUAUGCGUUUAAUGUGGUAAAUAUAAGAGGAAUAUGCCAAAGUCAUUUAUAUGUGCCAAUCUUCCUGCUGCCAGCUGGUGGCGCUAUGACUAUAACUGGAUUUUGUCAUGUAGAUUUCUUCAGUCCAGCACUUUUAUCAAGCAUAUGAAAUUUAGGGCAGAUUGAACAUGGAAUGUUUGAGUUAGUAUAAAGUAUGUUGUGUCCUAUUGCCAACAGGUGGUGCUAUGAUUAUAACUGAACAUUGGCCUUUAGAUAUCUUCAGGCCAUGACUCUUAUCAAAUAUUUGAAGUUUGGUGCAGAUUGGACAUUGCAUGUUUAAGUUAGUGUAA
ensembl:lncRNA